rnacentral:rRNA from 1 species
ACGCACGCUGGCGGCGCGCCUAACACCUGCCAGUCGAACGGAGCUGAGAGAAGCUUGCUUUUCUUAGCUUAGUGGCGAACGGGUGAGUAACGCGUGAGUAACCUGCCCUGGAGUGGGGGACAACAGUUGGAAACGACUGCUAAUACCGCAUAAGCCCACGAUCCGGCAUCGGAUUGAGGGAAAAGGAUUUAUUCGCUUCAGGAUGGACUCGCGUCCAAUUAGCUAGUUGGUGAGGUAACGGCCCACCAAGGCGACGAUUGGUAGCCGGACUGAGAGGUUGAACGGCCACAUUGGGACUGAGACACGGCCCAGACUCCUACGGGAGGCAGCAGUGGGGGAUAUUGCACAAUGGGGGAAGCCCUGAUGCAGCGACGCCGCGUGGAGGAAGAAGGUUUUCGGAUUGUAAACUCCUGUCGUUAGGGACGAUAAUGACGGUACCUAACAAGAAAGCACCGGCUAACUACGUG